GGCUCUUUGCUCAAGGAUUUGUAUACAGGAAGGAGCUUUGCAUACCUGUGCCACCUCACUGCUCCAAACACUUUAAGACUCACAGUGUGGAUCAGUCACUGCCCAGCCCUUUCAGAGUCACUGACACACAGGACAAUGAUGCCACUGAUUCUACUGUUGGGGACACUGGGGCUCUUCGCUCAAGAGUCCAGUGGGCAGAUUGUUCUGACUCAGUCUCCAGC